rnacentral:rRNA from 1 species
GACGAACGCUGGCGGCGUGCCUAAUACAUGCAAGUCGAACGCAGUGGUGACGGGUGAGUAACACGUGGGUAACCUCCCAUCAGAGGGCAUAACACUUGGAAACAGGUGCUCAACCGAUACUGCUGGAUGGAUCGUCGGUGCAUUAGCUAGUUGGUGAGGUAACGGCGCACCAAGGCCACGAUGCAUCGCCGACCUGAGAGGAUGAUCGGCCACACUGGGACUGAGACACGGCCCAGACUCCUACGGGAGGCAGCAGUGGGGAAUAGUCGGCAAUGGACGAAAGUCGGACCGAGCAACGCCGCGUGAGUGAAGAAGGUUUUCGGAUCGUAAAACUCUGUUAUUAGAGAGGCGGUAUCUAACCAGAAAGCCACGGCUAACUACGUGCCAGCAGCCGCGGUAAUAC